CAGAACGAACGCUGGCGGCGCGUCUUAAGCAUGCAAGUCGAACGGCAAGAGGUAGCAAUACCUCCUAGAGUGGCGGACUGGUGAGUAACACGUGGGUGACAUACCCUUCAGAUGGGGAUAGCUAUUAGAAAUAGUAGAUAAUACCGAAUACGAGCACAGGGGUUAGAGAUCUGUGAGGAAAGGAGCUAAGGCUCCGCUGAAGGAAUGGCCUGCGGCCCAUUAGCUAGUUGGUGAGGUAAGAGCCCACCAAGGCGAUGAUGGGUAUCCGGCCUUAGAGGGUGAACGGACACAUUGGGACUGAGAUACGGCCCAGACUCCUACGGGAGGCAGCAGCUAAGAAUAUUCCGCAAUGGACGAAAGUCUGACGGAGCGACGCCGCGUGGAUGAAGAAGGCCGGAAGGUUGUAAAAUCCUUUUGAAACUGAAGAAUAAGCGUUGUAGGGAAUGACAGCGUGGUGACAGUAGGUUUUGAAUAAGCAACGGCUAAUUACGUGCCAGCCGCUGC
rnacentral:rRNA from 1 species